rfam:Haemophilus pittmaniae HK 85 ctg1129913985447, whole genome shotgun sequence.
CACGCGGUGUAAGGAGAAAGUUCUUAUAGCGGCGUGGCUUCAUUUUGAGGU